rnacentral:misc_RNA from 1 species
ACACCUCAACUCUUCAUGGUUUUUCUGUGAUGAGCUUGGACUUUGGGGGUUUUGCUGGCCUAUGGUCGGCUCCUCUAAAAUGAAUCAGCUUGCCAGUGUUUGGUGGGCAUCACGGGUGUGAUAAAUAUCUACGCUUGUGGUUUUCCACCAGGUAACCUUCAGCAAUGGAGGUUCGCUGGAGCUCACAGAUGUCUCUCCUCAGUAGAGACAACUUUUUGAAC